GAUCAUGGCUCAGAUUGAACGCUGGCGGCAUGCUUUACACAUGCAAGUCGAACGGUAGACCCUUUCGGGGGUUGAGAGUGGCGAACGGGUGAGUAAUGCAUCGGAACGUGCCCAGUCGUGGGGGAUAACGCAGCGAAAGUUGUGCUAAUACCGCAUACGACCUGAGGGUGAAAGCGGGGGACCGGUAACGGCCUCGCGCGAUUGGAGCGGCCGAUGUCUGAUUAGCUAGUUGGUGAGGUAAAGGCUCACCAAGGCGACGAUCAGUAGCGGGUCUGAGAGGAUGAUCCGCCACACUGGGACUGAGACACGGCCCAGACUCCUACGGGAGGCAGCAGUGGGGAAUUUUGGACAAUGGGCGCAAGCCUGAUCCAGCCAUGCCGCGUGCGGGAAGAAGGCCUUCGGGUUGUAAACCGCUUUCGGACAGAAAGAAAUCGCGUGGGUUAAUAGCCUGCAUGGAUGACGGUACUGUAAGAAGAAGCACCGGCUAACUACGUG
rnacentral:rRNA from 1 species